UCGACAUUCUUCUUCUCACUAGGAAUAACCAUGAGAUGGAGGAAAAGGGGUGCUGGUCAUGGAGAGUUAGCUAGUCUGUAACCUUUGUUGUGUGUGUAUAUAUAUAUAAUGACAAAUUUGUCAUUUAAAAUAGGAGCUGGAGGAACCAGUAGCCUUUGUUGUGUGUGUAUAUAUAUGUAUUGACAAAUUUGUCAUUUAAAAUAGGAGCUGGAGGAACCAGGAACAACAACGAUACGAUGCUUUUAGCAGACAACUCCCAAAGUACCUACCAUAGAUGCAUCGGUUAUGGACAUGUUCAAGACAUGCUCAUAACUCGUGAGAGCAACUUUACCAGGGAACAGUGUUGGAGCCACAGGCCCACAAGGCUGAUGCAAGGCAGGAGCUAGCGGGUACACAAACGGACUAGCAAUAUUUUUGUGAUGACUAAUCAGCAGAGGAAAACAAGGGGCUUAGGACAUUAAACCUACUGAAAUUGCCUCAUCAAGGCCUCAAGGGCCUCCUACCAUGUCUGUAAUUAAUAUUGCCAUAGUGGUGUUAACCAUGAUGCUAGCAUGGCAAAAAAAAGUUCCCAUGAUUUUAGAUGUAUAUUUCGUGU
rnacentral:lncRNA from 1 species